rnacentral:tRNA from 1 species
UAUAUAAUGGUGUAUUAAGCACAUGAAAUUUUGAUUUUCAAGGAGUAAGUGUAAUUCUUUCUUAUGUAA